UGGCUUGUGUAGAGGUCAGAGGACAACUUUGUGGAGUUGGUUCCCUCCUUCCACCUUUGUAUGGGUUCUUGGGAUCCAACUCAGGUCCCCAGGCUUUCUCAGCAAGUGUCUCUACCUGGAAAGCCAUUGGGAUGGGCCCUAGACCACUGUGCUGUCACUUCUAUGACAGUGAAACACAUGGGCUUCUGAAAUUGAGGUAUUUCAAUAAACAAUGAUCUCAGUGGAGGAGAAAGAUAUAUUUAUAAAUCAGAAUCGUUGGACAAGAUUCUCAAACUGCUGAUGUGAGCCCCAAUUCUACUCUUCUGUCUGUAGACAGGCACAUGAUGUACUCAAGAGAUGUAUUAACUUGGAUGAGUGGAAGGUAUAAAACGUGCAGUGUACUGUGAAAAUGUCUCUGUGGAGAAGGAUCAAAUGGAAGUAGCUCAGGUUCUGUGGGCCACAUGGUCUUCGCCAUCUGCCUUCUGUCUACUAACUGUACUACUGCAGCAGAAGGUAAGCACACGGACGUCUGCCUGUGGUCCAACAGUACUUGAUUGGUAAAGGCUAUGGCUAGAUAAAGCCCAUGGCUCAUAGUUUGCCGACCUCUGACCACACAUAACAUAGCUUAUAGAUAAAUUGG
rnacentral:lncRNA from 1 species